rnacentral:rRNA from 1 species
GCAGCCGCGGUAAUACGUAGGGAGCAAGCGUUAUCCGGAUUUACUGGGUGUAAAGGGCGCGUAGGCGGGAUGGCAAGUCAGAUGUGAAAUCUCAGGGCUCAACCCUGAAACUGCAUUUGAAACUGUCGUUCUUGAGUACUGGAGAGGUUGACGGAAUUCCUAGUGUAGCGGUGAAAUGCGUAGAUAUUAGGAGGAACACCAGUGGCGAAGGCGGUCAACUGGACAGAAACUGACGCUGAGGCGCGAAAGCGUGGGGAGCAAACAGGAUUAGAUACCCC